rnacentral:rRNA from 1 species
GGACUACAAGGGUAUCUAAUCCUGUUUGCUCCCCUUGCUCUCGCGCCUCAGCGUCAGGUAUAAACUAGAAAACCGCUUUCGCCACAGGUGUUCUUCCACAUAUCUACGCAUUUCACCGCUACACGUGGAAUUCCGUUUUCUCCGUCAAUCCUCUAGAAACACAGUUUCAAAUGCAGCUCCGAAGUUGAGCUUCGGAAUUUCACAUCUGACUUUCGCUCCCGCCUACGCGCCCUUUACGCCCAAUAAUUCCGAUUAAUGCUUGCACUCUCCGUAUUACCGCGGCGGCUGGCAC